CCAACUCUGGUAUGAUUGGUUGCUUGCAUCAUGAAUUACAUUUGAGUGAGAGGCGAACUGGUGAGUAACACGUGGGAAACCUGCCCAGAAGCGGGGGAUAACACCUGGAAACAGAUGCUAAUACCGCAUAACAACUUGGACCGCAUGGUCCGAGUUUGAAAGAUGGCUUCGGCUAUCACUUUUGGAUGGUCCCGCGGCGUAUUAGCUAGAUGGUGAGGUAACGGCUCACCAUGGCAAUGAUACGUAGCCGACCUGAGAGGGUAAUCGGCCACAUUGGGACUGAGACACGGCCCAAACUCCUACGGGAGGCAGCAGUAGGGAAUUUCCACAAUGGACGAAAGUCUGAUGGAGCAACGCCGCGUGAGUGAAGAAGGGUUUCGGCUCGUAAAACUCUGUUGUUAAAGAAGAACAUAUCUGAGAGUAACUGUUCAGGUAUUGACGGUAUUUAACCAGAAAGCCACGGCUAACUACGUGCCAGCAGCCGCGGUAAUACGUAGGUGGCAAGCGUUGUCCGGAUUUAUUGGGCGUAAAGCGAGCGCAGGCGGUUUUUUAAGUCUGAUGUGAAAGCCUUCGGCUCAACCGAAGAAGUGCAUCGGAAACUGGGGGAACUUGAGUGCAGAAGAGGACAGUGGAACUCCAUGUGUAGCGGUGAAAUGCGUAGAUAUAUGGAAGAACACCAGUGGCGAAGGCGGCUGUCUGGUCUGUAACUGACGCUGAGGCUCGAAAGUAUGGGUAGCAAACAGGAUUAGAUACCCUGGUAGUCCAUACCGUAAACGAUGAAUGCUAAGUGUUGGAGGGUUUCCGCCCUUCAGUGCUGCAGCUAACGCAUUAAGCAUUCCGCCUGGGGAGUACGGCCGCAAGGCUGAAACUCAAAGGAAUUGACGGGGGCCCGCACAAGCGGUGGAGCAUGUGGUUUAAUUCGAAGCUACGCGAAGAACCUUACCAGGUCUUGACAUACUAUGCAAAUCUAAGAGAUUAGACGUUCCCUUCGGGGACAUGGAUACAGGUGGUGCAUGGUUGUCGUCAGCUCGUGUCGUGAGAUGUUGGGUUAAGUCCCGCAACGAGCGCAACCCUUAUUAUCAGUUGCCAGCAUUAAGUUGGGCACUCUGGUGAGACUGCCGGUGACAAACCGGAGGAAGGUGGGGAUGACGUCAAAUCAUCAUGCCCCUUAUGACCUGGGCUACACACGUGCUACAAUGGAUGGUACAACGAGUUGCGAACUCGCGAGAGUAAGCUAAUCUCUUAAAGCCAUUCUCAGUUCGGAUUGUAGGCUGCAACUCGCCUACAUGAAGUCGGAAUCGCUAGUAAUCGCGGAUCAGCAUGCCGCGGUGAAUACGUUCCCGGGCCUUGUACACACCGCCCGUCACACCAUGAGAGUUUGUAACACCCAAAGUCGGUGGGGUAACCUUUUAGGAACCAG
rnacentral:rRNA from 2 species